UUACUUCACUCUCCUUGGCUGUUAAACCCCUGUCCUUUUUCUCUCCUCCUCUUUCCUUUCUCAUUUCCCUCAGUCAAUCUCCCUAUCUUCUCCUGAUUCACCUCACUCCAUUUACUCAGCCUUCUCCAUUUCAGCACCCUAAUGGCCUAAUUCCCAAAGUUCCCCUCCUUCUCUCUUCUAUAAAUCGCAUCAAUGGAUGAGGAAUCAAUUUAGAUUGUCUUUUGUACGAAUCAUGUUACUAAGAAGUUGACAUGGGGUGGUGAUGAUUCAGGGUCAAGAACAUCGCAGUUAUGGGUGGUUAUUUCUCUUUGAUAUUUUCAAGCCAAUUAGAUUGAAGAAAUUCGCUUCUUCGUUAAGAGAAAGCUAACAAACCAUAGUUUUCUGUCCUAUCAUUAGCUAAAUGAGUAUUACCGUCCAUCUCCAUUCAUUGGUUAUCUUCAAGUUAAGCUUUAAUAGCGGUUCAAUUCGAUUUUGAUAAUUUUUGUUUUUUAUUUGAUUUGGGGUGCGGCGUUUGUUGCAGGUAUAUCUCGUGAUUUUAUUCUCAAUAGGCGUGCCUUUAGGUGCAGGAGCAAGGCUUGGAGGAAGAAGUGAAAGAUGUGAUUGAUGGAAAACUAUGCGAAAAAUUUCCAACUUUACCUAUGGAUAUGCAGAGGAAGAUUGCAAAUGAAUUGCACAAAACUCCUGCAGAGAUUCUAUUGAAACUGGAUGAGAUUCAAAAUAAGAUUAUUUGAGGCAGAUGUUUUUUAGAAGGUAUAUAACAAUAUGCCUUUUUUUUAUGUAUCCUAUAUAUUAGUGCCACUUCAUUUUGAAAUAGGGAUAUUCUUAUCAUCUCCUAGUUGGGUGUUGUACCAGCUUGUGAUAUUUUUUUUUGUAGUAUAUAUAUAUUAUAAAUUAGUGCAGAUUUGAUUUGUUAGUCUAAA